GGCCACUGCUAUGGGGGUCCGACUAAGCCAUGCGAGUCAAGGGGGCGUCCCUUCUGGGACGCCACCGGCGGACGGCUCAGUAACACGUCGGUAACCUACCCUCGGGAGGGGGAUAACCCCGGGAAACUGGGGCUAAUCCCCCAUAGGCCUGGGGUACUGGAAGGUCCCCAGGCCGAAAGGGAGCCGUAAGGCUCCGCCCGAGGAUGGGCCGGCGGCCGAUUAGGUAGUUGGUGGGGUAACGGCCCACCAAGCCGAAGAUCGGUACGGGCCGUGAGAGCGGGAGCCCGGAGAUGGACACUGAGACACGGGUCCAGGCCCUACGGGGCGCAGCAGGCGCGAAACCUCCGCAAUGCGGGAAACCGCGACGGGGGGACCCCCAGUGCCGUGCCUCUGGCACGGCUUUUCCGGAGUGUAAAAAGCUCCGGGAAUAAGGGCUGGGCAAGGCCGGUGGCAGCCGCCGCGGUAAUACCGGCGGCCCGAGUGGUGGCCACUAUUAUUGGGCCUAAAGCGGCCGUAGCCGGGCCCGUAAGUCCCUGGCGAAAUCCCACGGCUCAACCGUGGGGCUCGCUGGGGAUACUGCGGGCCUUGGGACCGGGAGAGGCCGGGGGUACCCCCGGGGUAGGGGUGAAAUCCUAUAAUCCCGGGGGGACCGCCAGUGGCGAAGGCGCCCGGCUGGAACGGGUCCGACGGUGAGGGCCGAAGGCCAGGGGAGCGAACCGGAUUAGAUACCCGGGUAGUCCUGGCUGUAAAGGAUGCGGGCUAGGUGUCGGGCGAGCUUCGAGCUCGCCCGGUGCCGUAGGGAAGCCGUUAAGCCCGCCGCCUGGGGAGUACGGCCGCAAGGCUGAAACUUAAAGGAAUUGGCGGGGGAGCACUACAAGGGGUGGA
rnacentral:rRNA from 1 species